AUAGCUGGAUUGCAUUUAAUUUAAUGUAGUUACUACUUGGUAGUUUAAAUUUCUAGGUAGAAUUAUGAUGAUGACAUUAUCUAUCUAUUAGUCUUGACCAAAUUACGUGCCAGCAGUCGCGGUAAUACGUAGAAGACAAGUGUUAUUCAUCUUUAUUAGGUUUAAAGAGUACCAAGACGGUUAAUAAAGCCCAAAAUAAAUGAAUACGGGGGACACAUUAACUAGAGUUAUAUGAAAGGAAGCUCUAAGGUACUGUUGAGUGUAGAGAUGAAAUUUAAUUAUACCAGAUGAGUGGCACAGAUUUAUGCGAAGSCAUCUUCUUAUGUAAUAACUGACGUUGUAGGACGAAGGCUUAGGAAGUGAACAGGAUUAGGUACCCCAGUAAUCUAGGCAGAAAAUGAUGAAUGUCAUAGGUUGAAUACAGACAAACGAUUUGAAUACAGACAAACUAUUUGAAUACAGACAAACUAUCUAAUAGUAAAUAGGUAGGUCUAUUAUUGUGUCUAUAAAUGAAAGUGUAAGCAUUCCACCUCAAGAGUAAUUUGGCAACAUUGGAACUGAAAUCAUUAGACCGUUUCUGAAACCAGUAGUGAAGUAUGUUGUUUAAUUAGAUGAUACACAAAAACCUUACCACAAUCUGAAUAUAUAUAAAAUAUAUUUACAAGNGCUGCACGGCUGUCUACAGUUAAUGUCGUGAGACUUUGGUUAGCUCCAUUAAAUUGACGUAAACCCUAAUUUUAUUUAUAAAUAUAAUUAACAUCGCUAUAUUWGAUGUUUUAAGA
rnacentral:rRNA from 1 species